rnacentral:rRNA from 1 species
GACGAACGCUGGCGGCGUGCUUAACACAUGCAAGUCGAACGGGAAGGCCCUGCCUUUGUGGGGUGCUCGAGUGGCGAACUGAUGAGUAACAAGUGAGUAACCUGCCCUUGACUUUGUGAUAACUUCAGUAAACUAGGGCUAAUACCGGAUAGGAGCUCCUGCUGCAUGUUGGGGGUUCGAAAGUUUCGGCGGUUGGGGAUUGACUCGCGGCUUAUCAGCUUGUUGGUGGGGUAGUGGAUUACCAAGGCUUUGACGGGUAGCCGGCCUGAUAUGGUGAGAUGAACCAUUGGAAUUGAGCUGCGGCACAGACCACUACGCGACGCAGGAGAGGGGUAUAGUGUACUAUGCAAUGAAGCCUGCCGCAGUACAGCCGCGCGGGGUGAAAGGGCAAUCGGGUCGUAACGCGAUUUUGCCUGUGAUGAAGAGUGAGUGACGGUAACAGGUAAAGAAGCACCGGCUAACUACGUG